GACAGAGGGUGCAAACGUUGCUCGGAAUCACUGGGCGUAAAGGGCGUGUAGGCGGGAAGGAAAGUCAGAUGUGAAAUCCCUGGGCUCAACCCAGGAACUGCAUUUGAAACUCCCUUUCUUGAGUACCGGAGAGGAAGGUGGAAUACCUGGUGUAGAGGUGAAAUUCGUAGAUAUCAGGUGGAACACCAGUGGCGAAGGCGGCCUUCUGGACGGUAACUGACGCUGAGACGCGAAAGCGUGGGGAGCAAACAGG
rnacentral:rRNA from 1 species